AUUUACCAUAAUAUGCCCAGAUACUGGGAAAGGUCUGGCUAUGUUGUUAUUCAUCCUGAGGAGUGAGGUUGAAUGGGCCUUAAGAAGCAUUGCCAAUUACAAGGCAGCAGGAGACGAUGGGAUCCCAGUUGAGUUGUUUAAAAUCUUGGAAGAUGAUGCUGUCAAGGUGAUAUAUGCCAUAUGCCAGCAAAUAUGGAAAACACAAGAAUGGCCAUCAGAUUGGGAAAAAUCAAUUUAUAUCCCCAUACUAAAAAAGGGAAACGCUAAAAAUGCUCCAACUUCCGUACAGUGGCACUUAUUUCCCAUGCCAGUAAGGUACUGCUUAAGAUCCUGCAAGAAUGACUCCAGCAAUACAUGGAGCGAGAGUUGCCAGAUGUUCAGGCUGGGUUUAGAAAAGGCAAAGGAACAAGAGACCAAUUGCCAAUAUCCUCUGGAUAAGGGCAGGGCCCGACUCACCGGGCCCUGCAGAUUGCUGGGAAGGGCGCUCCCUCCCUCCCAGCAUGGCGGCGGACCGGGGGGCUUCUUCUUCCCAGGAGCCCCCUCGGCGCAGCGGGAAGGUUUCCCGCCGCCAGCACCCGCUGGCCAAUGGCAGGCCAGCACUCCUGGGCUGCCAUUGGUCAGCGCCCCUCCGUGGGCGGGGCCGCACCAGGCUCCGCCCCCGAGAGGCUCAACAGCAGCCAUUCGGAGGCUGCAGCUUGGAGGAGGAGGACACGCACGGAGCAAGAGAAAGAAGGCAGCGCGAGGAAGAAGGCAACGAGGGGCAGCGGAGUUACAGUAGGAAGGCUGGAAACGAGGGGAAGGGCAAUGGCGCCUAAAAGGAGCACCAGGGCGGCAGCAGGAAUGGAUAAGGAGUUACCGCCUAGAACAUCGAGGCCGCCCAGGAACAAGGCAACAGCCGAGGGGGAGGCUAGAAGAAAAACACCAAAUAAGGCGCCCACGCGUAAAGCAGCUCCCAAACACGCUGGUAAGCAGGGUGAGGGCGCGCUGGAGGGGAUAUCCCAGAACCUCGCUCGCCUAGUGGAUAGAAUGGGUAAACUUGAGUCAAGAGUUUACCAAAGGUCCGAGAGAACAUCAGCAUCCCCGCAAAGGGAUGCACCUAGAGGCAGGAGACGAACGAGAGACAAUGACGUAUCCAGGUCACCCUCAAUUAGUCCGGCAUCCAGCGGUGAUGACUCCACAGCAGCCACCGAGCGGACCAAAUGGAGCGGCGGCGGCGCGCGAAAAAAGUCACGCAGGUCUUCAAGGCGCUGUUGCCAGACCGCUACAGACAGCGACUCCGCGGAGAGUGAGUAUGCCCGUGUUGACCUAGUUGACAGAGGUAACUAUUGGAGGACAGCGGCCCUAGUGCCAGGACUCCCUUAAUGGGCCAUCAGGGACAGAACUGAGACAGCGGCAGCGUUGGGAGCCCCAUGUGGUGCUUGGGGCAAGCGCAGGGCUCCUGCCCCGGCGCUACCUGGCCCUUUUCAGGACAAUGAAGAUCCACCUGGCACUCACCUGUCCCCCCGUGUCAUUAGCAAGAUUCUAAAAGGCUACUACGUGGAUGUUUUUUCUCUCAUAAAACCAGAGGGGGAAGAGGGUAGGGAACCCCCCCUAAGAGGAAGGCGCAGAAGAGGGGAGAAGGAUAAGCCGGUGGAGCAGAACUUUGUUAACUGGAUGGCCGGUUUUUCCGUAUACCUUGGGGUAGUGGCCACGUCUUUUCCUGACCGGGCGUGGCAUCUUGCAAAUCAUCAAAAGACGGUUGUCAAGGCUAGGAGGAUGGCUGGCGAGGCAGCGGCCAUUGCAUACGACGAAGCCUUUAGAAAAAGAGCUUCUCAGAGCGCCAGGGUCAGGUGGGACCUCACUAAUCAUGACAUUUGGCUUACCGAGGUCGGCCCCAGCAUAAAAAGCAAGUCAGAUACGAGCAGGUCAGACCGAGGCUGGGGCAGAAAAGAAAGCAGGCGGGCGGUGUGCUGGGAGUUUAACCUGGGAAAAUGCCAGCGGGCACGCUGCCGCUUUGACCAUGCGUGUGAAUACUGCUCGGGAAACCACACCAAGAUGAGUUGCGGGAAGUCCGGCAGCAACGGGCAGCCCUUUCCGUCAGGCCGGGCUGGAGCUCAGCCCGGUUUCAAAAAAGAAGGCGGAGCAACCAACGGGAGCAGCUCCGCUCGCACCAAGUAAUUCCCAGGACUCCAUCGGGACACUGGCUUUCA
ensembl:lncRNA